AUGAACAGUAACACGGUUUGACCCGACUUUGAACAGUAACGCGGUUUGACCCGGAUGAACAGUAACGCGGUUUGGUUGAAAAUAAUCCUGUGUGAUGCAUGCACCGUACGCGAGAUUUUUCGUCCACUGAUAUGCUGCCACGUCACCAUCAACAGUACAUAAGAAUGUACUGUACACGUGAAUAGUACCGUACAUGUGAAUAGUGCCAUUUUUCCUUUUAUGCUCCUCCUAAGGUUUUCGACCGUCCUGAGUUCAAAACUGAUGUCCGUUUUGCCGUCUGAUCUCUCCUUUAUUGUGAAAUGACUAUAAUGCCCCUAAAAUACAUAAAAUACUUAAUUAAAAUAAAACACAUGUAAUUAAAUCACAAGAAGGUUAAAUAUAUAAAAGUAAGGGUUGUUAGUAAGACUUAAAAUGUAAAAUGACGGUUUUCUCCUUUAUAAAUAUGCAUUUUCUAACACUCAACACAGCCCCCAACCAGCUUAUUGCUAGUCCCUAGCAAAUAAAGCGAAAACAAAAUUC
rnacentral:lncRNA from 1 species